CGGUGGCGAUGCGCUCAGGGGACACACCCGUUCCCAUCCCGAACACGACGGUUAAGACCUGAGCGGCCGAUGGUACUGCAUUGGAGACGAUGUGGGAGAGCAGGUGGCCGCCGGAUC
rnacentral:rRNA from 1 species